AAUCCCAGUAGUAUCUAGUGAAACACACAUGCAAACGCCCUUCUGUCCCUCAUUCCCUCAAACUCGAUCUUCUACAUUUGUUGUGUAAAAAGGACAUAGCAAGUUUUUUGUAUCAAUGAUCACUUUAGGAUAUUCCAGUGCAUUUACAUUCAAUAUAUACUGUACCUUGAGUGAGGUAGAAAUGCAUAUUGUUGCAAAUAUAAAUACUGUUAAUUUGUUAUUUUUUGUAAUUAAUCAUUUACUGAAUUUCUUUGUAGAAUAUGUUACUAUUAUUUGGGUUUUUGUUCUCUGCAUAACUGUCUCUUUCACCUAUAUUAAUUCCUCAGCAUUCAAGAUGUUUGUAGGGUCCUCACCUCAGCUACCUCUCACAAGGUGCCCCUGAAAAAGAAAUUCAAGACGUUUGGGUCCUCAGCUCAACUGACCAAGACCUUUGCUCAUUGAAGGCAUGAAGUAAUUUGUGAUGCCCCCACGAUUGCAGUUUUUAAAUCCAGAUGGCUUGCUCUUUUUAACAUGUGCGAGAGCUGGAUGGUCUUUCAACAACACUGCUCCGGGUCUUCAGCAAGAAAGGUGCUUCUCAUGCAAGGAAGAUACAGAGGAUCCUGGUGCCCAUGACUCAGGUAAAACAUGCACACUGCCAUGCAUCACAGUAAUGCUAAAAUUUCAAGAUCUAAUGUAAUGGGGAGAAGUAGGGUGUCUUGGAUCAUAUUGCAUUUCUCCCACUAAUUUCAAUCCUUCAGCCAGUUUUGAACUCAUUGUCUUCACCUCAGUUCUAACUACAGCUGGCUUUACACACAGCAGUCCUGGGCAAUGAUAUAACAGUCUUUUGCAGACUGACAACAUUGAUGUGAAGAGGGAGUGCAUGCUGAGGAGCUGACGGUCUACCUGAAUGAAGAGCCAGACAAAGUGGAUGUUGAUCUGGACGGUCCAGCUGAAACGUAUUGUCUUCGUGUGCGUGUGAUCGGCAGAGAGUCCUCAACGACAUUGGUAACGUACCUGUGGCCAUUGCAGUGUUUGUUUUGGUUUAUGCUCUUAAUCUCUGUUACCUUCCAGAAUGGAAGUACACUUUCAAAUUUCUGUUUCAUUCUAACCGUCUGUUUCAUCAGUUUUUGCACUGCUUUUAAAUGUACACUGUGUAAGAUUCUUAGUUGUUUAUUUCCAGAAUUCAUGCUACCCAUUCACUAAUGUUACCUUUUUCAUGAAUACUUAGCACCACCAUUAGGGUGCAUCA